GUCAAGAUGGCCGAGUGGUUAAGGCGCCAGACUUAAGACACUAAUUCAAAUAAUAGAUUAAUAGGUAAUCUUGCUAAAUCCGUUACUUGGCAUUCUGGUCUUCGAAGAAGGCAUGGGUUCGUACCCCACUGUUGACA
rfam:Daphnia pulex DAPPTscaffold_1505_Cont13005, whole genome shotgun sequence.